rnacentral:tRNA from 1 species
AUUAUAAUAGUUUAAGGUAAAACAUUUCAUUUUCACUGAAAUAAUAUUUUUAUAAAAAUUUAUAAUU